rnacentral:rRNA from 1 species
GAUGAACGCUAGCUACGGGCUUAACACAUGCAAGUCGAGGGGCAGCAUUAAAGUUUGCUUGCAAACUUUAGAUGGCGACCGGCGCACGGGUGAGUAACACGUAUCCAACCUGCCGAUAACUCGGGGAUAGCCUUUCGAAAGAAAGAUUAGUACCCGAUGGUAUAUUUUCACCGCAUGGUGAAACUAUUAAAGAAUUUCGGUUAUCGAUGGGGAUGCGUUCCAUUAGCUUGUUGGUGAGGUAAUGGCUCACCAAGGCAUCGAUGGGUAGGGGUUCUGAGAGGAAGGGUCCCCCACAUUGGAACUGACGACACGGUCCAA